GGGUUGUGAGGUUAAGCGACUAAGCGUACACGGUGGAUGCCUAGGCAGUCAGAGGCGAUGAAGGGCGUGCUAAUCUGCGAUAAGCGUCGGUAAGCUGAUAUGAAGCGUUAUACCCGACGAUACCCGAAUGGGGAAACCCAGUGUGUUUCGACACACUAUCAUGACAUGAAUACAUAGUGUCAUGAGGCGAACCGGGGGAACUGAAACAUCUCAGUACCCCGAGGAAAAGAAAUCAACCGAGAUUCCCCCAGUAGCGGCGAGCGAACGGGGAGGAGCCCAGAACCUGAAUCAGUUUGUGUGUUAGUGGAAGCGUCUGGAAAGUCGCACAGUAAAGGGUGAUAGUCCCGUACACAAAAAUGCACAAGCUGUGAGUUCGAUGAGUAGGGCGGGACACGUGACAUCCUGUCUGAAUAUGGGGGGACCAUCCUCCAAGGCUAAAUACUCCUGACUGACCGAUAGUGAACCAGUACCGUGAGGGAAAGGCGAAAAGAACCCCGGCGAGGGGAGUGAAAUAGAACCUGAAACCGUGUACGUACAAGCAGUGGGAGCCUACUUGUUAGGUGACUGCGUACCUUUUGUAUAAUGGGUCAGCGACUUAUAUUCUGUAGCAAGGUUAACCGUAUAGGGGAGCCGCAGGGAAACCGAGUCUUAACUGGGCGUUAAGUUGCAGGGUAUAGACCCGAAACCCGGUGAUCUAGCCAUGGGCAGGUUGAAGGUUGGGUAACACUAACUGGAGGACCGAACCGACUAAUGUUGAAAAAUUAGCGGAUGACUUGUGGCUGGGGGUGAAAGGCCAAUCAAACCGGGAGAUAGCUGGUUCUCCCCGAAAGCUAUUUAGGUAGCGCCUCGUGAACUCAUCUUCGGGGGUAGAGCACUGUUUCGGCUAGGGGGUCAUCCCGACUUACCAACCCGAUGCAAACUACGAAUACCGAAGAAUGUUAUCACGGGAGACACACGGCGGGUGCUAACGUUCGUCGUGAAGAGGGAAACAACCCAGACCGCCAGCUAAGGUCCCAAAGUCAUGGUUAAGUGGGAAACGAUGUGGGAAGGCACAGACAGCCAGGAUGUUGGCUUAGAAGCAGCCAUCAUUUAAAGAAAGCGUAAUAGCUCACUGGUCGAGUCGGCCUGCGCGGAAGAUGUAACGGGGCUAAACCAUGCACCGAAGCUGCGGCAGCGACACUUAGGUGUUGUUGGGUAGGGGAGCGUUCUGUAAGCCUGCGAAGGUGGCCUGUGAGGGCUGCUGGAGGUAUCAGAAGUGCGAAUGCUGACAUAAGUAACGAUAAUGCGGGUGAAAAACCCGCACGCCGGAAGACCAAGGGUUCCUGUCCAACGUUAAUCGGGGCAGGGUGAGUCGACCCCUAAGGCGAGGCUGAAAAGCGUAGUCGAUGGGAAACAGGUUAAUAUUCCUGUACUCGGUGUUACUGCGAAGGGGGGACGGAGAAAGCUAGGUUAUCCGGGCGACGGUUGUCCCGGUUUAAGCGUGAAGGUGGAUGACUUUGGUAAAUCCGGGUCAUCGUUAACACUGAGGCGUGAUGACGAGUCACUACGGUGAUGAAGUAACCGAUGCUACGCUUCCAGGAAAAGCCUCUAAGCUCCAGGUAACAUCAAAUCGUACCCCAAACCGACACAGGUGGUCAGGUAGAGAAUACUCAGGCGCUUGAGAGAACUCGGGUGAAGGAACUAGGCAAAAUGGUGCCGUAACUUCGGGAGAAGGCACGCUGAUGGUAAGUGAAGUGACUUGCUCAUGGAGCUGAAAUCAGUCGAAGAUACCAGCUGGCUGCAACUGUUUAAUAAAAACACAGCACUGUGCAAACACGAAAGUGGACGUAUACGGUGUGACGCCUGCCCGGUGCCGGAAGGUUAAUUGAUGGGGUCAGCCGCAAGGCGAAGCUCUUGAUCGAAGCCCCGGUAAACGGCGGCCGUAACUAUAACGGUCCUAAGGUAGCGAAAUUCCUUGUCGGGUAAGUUCCGACCUGCACGAAUGGCGUAAUGAUGGCCAGGCUGUCUCCACCCGAGACUCAGUGAAAUUGAACUCGCUGUGAAGAUGCAGUGUACCCGCGGCAAGACGGAAAGACCCCGUGAACCUUUACUAUAGCUUGACACUGAACCUUGAGCCUUGAUGUGUAGGAUAGGUGGGAGGCUUUGAAGUGUGGACGCCAGUCUGCAUGGAGCCAACCUUGAAAUACCACCCUUUAAUGUUUGAUGUUCUAACGUGGACCCGUGAUCCGGGUUGCGGACAGUGUCUGGUGGGUAGUUUGACUGGGGCGGUCUCCUCCCAAAGCGUAACGGAGGAGCACGAAGGUUAGCUAAUCCUGGUCGGACAUCAGGAGGUUAGUGCAAAGGCAUAAGCUAGCUUGACUGCGAGAGUGACAGCUCGAGCAGGUGCGAAAGCAGGUCUUAGUGAUCCGGUGGUUCUGAAUGGAAGGGCCAUCGCUCAACGGAUAAAAGGUACUCCGGGGAUAACAGGCUGAUACCGCCCAAGAGUUCAUAUCGACGGCGGUGUUUGGCACCUCGAUGUCGGCUCAUCACAUCCUGGGGCUGAAGUAGGUCCCAAGGGUAUGGCUGUUCGCCAUUUAAAGUGGUACGCGAGCUGGGUUUAGAACGUCGUGAGACAGUUCGGUCCCUAUCUGCCGUGGGCGUUGGAAGAUUGAGAGGGGUUGCUCCUAGUACGAGAGGACCGGAGUGAACGCACCACUGGUGUACGGGUUGUGAUGCCAAUUGCAUUGCCCGGUAGCUAAGUGCGGAAGAGAUAACCGCUGAAAGCAUCUAAGCGGGAAACUUGCCUCGAGAUGAGUCUUCCCUGGGCACUAGAUGCCCCUGAAGGGCCGUUGAAGACGACGACGUAGAUAGGCUGGGUGUGUAAGCGUAGCGAUACGUUGAGCUAACCAGUACUAAUGACCCGAGAGGCUUAACCUUACAACACCGAAGGUGUUU
rnacentral:rRNA from 2 species